AGGCGUCUCCCUCUCUGCCCCCGCCCAGGCCUAGCCACUCCGGUCCCCGAUUUCGUUUUCUCGCAUGCAUGCCAACGCGUUUUUCUAUAUGUGGGGUUCCCCCAAACCCCCACCCAGCGACUACAAAACAGCAUUCCCGGCAUCUCCGAAGGACAAAAAAAUGGCUGUUGAUAAAUCUAUUAGAAGAGUUGCAGAAAGAGAUAAAGUCAGCAUUUAGAAAAAAACCAGGAAACCUGUUAAAAAAAAAAAGCCAUAACCCGCUGCUUGGCGUUGCUUAACGGUUUAGCAUAUGAAAAAGUCGGAAAGGAGACGCUGGGAAAGAAGCCGGUAGUGGCCGCGGCCUGGGCUGGCCGCAGACACUCUGCAAAAUGUAACUUGGUGGAAAGCGGCGGCGAGGACGUGGCCGGGGCACGCAGCAAAGAGUUUCCCAGGAAGAGGAGCCAGUGACGGCGCUGCGACACACAAAUUAACUUCCAUCUCCGUGACACAGUUUCCCCGGAUAUAAAGGCAGCCCAUUGGAUCUCUGCUUGGCAGCUUUUUUCUGCUGGGGAGUCUGAGGGGGGACAUUGGCUCCAUCCUGAGAUGCGCCUCUUGCCUGCGUGAGAUCUACAGGGCGUGUACCUGACCCUAAAAUGAAAUCUGAGUUGAUUUGCACAGCUGCAUCAUUUUGUGGCCCACAGGCUCCGAAGUGUUUGCAAAGCUGUCUAGACAGCCUGCCACGACCGCGCCGCAAGCUAGCAAUCCACCUGCCCGGACUGCAGAAGGUUGCUUGUCGCUAGGCUCCAGCAGACCCGCGGGAAGGAAGGUCGGGAGGACCCGCAGCCAUCAAGGGCGACUUGGUAAACUCAUUUGACUCCACCUGAACCGUCUAGCCCUAGAGGCAGGCACCUAGUGCAGCGCGGGGCUCCACUGCGGCCUCCUCCUGCAUGGCUGGGCCUGCGUGGACGCGUGCGUGGGUCUGCACCCGGGCAGAUGGCGGCUCUUCUCCAGGCGCCGCCCCCCUCCAACAAACUUCGAAUUUCACCGCCCGCUGACUCUGGCUCGGGGCCCCCCUCCGUGCCGCCGAUCUCUGCCAUCCGCCCGCCCCUCGCCAGGCCUCGCCCGAACCAUCCAUUCCCGGGUGUCUCCUUGGAACCUCCCUGGGGAAGGGGGCUGAACAACUCCCAGCUGCCAGUUCCAUUUGUUGCGC